CCAAAGGCUGCCCAGCCAGCCUGGCACUGCCCCAGAGCCCACCAUGAUGACACCUGAGGGUUAAAUCCUGACCUCAUCUCCUCUUCGCUCACAGCAGAGCAAAACCCCGUGGAGGCUGGGCCUCCCUAGUCCAUGUUUUGCACAGAAGCUCGUGCAGGAGGGAGGCUGCACCGAACUGGCACUUUUGGCUUCAAGACAAGCCGCUUCCUCACAAGGCCUUGAGGAAGUGAGAAGUCUGUCUCCUCCAAGGACGGAACACCGGUCCAUGCCCAGGAAAUAACAGAAUUACAUGACAGAGCCACAGCUCUCGAUGCUCCAGAAUGAAUCCUGGCACCAAAGUUCACCUGACAGCAUCAGAGGCAUCACCCCAGAGCCCCGAGGUGAGGACAGGGAUCACCAGAGCCAUCAGGUAGAGGAGUUCCACUGGAUUCACACUACAAGCCUACAGCUGCUUGAGCUGUGGGUUUUUGUUUUUUCCUUAACACCAUUUAUUUUGCAACUUAUUCCAAGGUACAAAUUUAGUACUUUCUCCAUGGCAAAGCAGCCUUCAGUGCUGCACAGACAGCAGACACAAAAUGAACGGUUAUUCUUGGAUAAUUUAUUCAGAAUUUUAAUAUAAACAGUUAAUUGUUCAAUAUUCUGACACACAGCAAGGAUUUUUCUUUUUUACUAUUCAAAAAUUUUCUGUACAUGUCACUGCUUGGCUCUUAGAUAUGAAAACAUUGAAAAAAUAAAUCAAGGGGGAAGGUUUUUAUUUUUUCUUCCUUUUUUUUAAAAAAAAAACAUGGCACAUUUGACCCUUUAUUUCAAACAAGAGGUAUCUGCAGUACUAUUUGUAUUCUAGAACCUUAAAUACGCAGAGGGAAAGGUAGGAGCAGCAAGAAUGAACUGGGAAAAAAAAUAAAACCCCAAGACUUCACACAGAACAUCACCUAACAUGUAACUGAAACUAUCUGUGGUUUAUUUAAGUGAAGCAGAGGGCUCUGGGCUUUGUUGGAUGAAGCUGACAUCCACUUCACCCAUCCAUGAGGGUCAUCAAAUAUAAACCAGUUUUGAUACUCCAAGAAUAAAAUAAUUUCCCUAACUAAAGCACAAUUUAAUGUUUUCCCUGUUUAAAUAACACUCUACCUCUGCAGAUUUAGAAGUGGCCUUUCUAAAAUUCUCCAUCAGCUUUCAUGAGACUCGGUUACAGGACAAGACUUGGAAGUGGGGAUGGUGGAAGCGUUGGAAUGCUGCUGGGAGAGCCUGGAUUUAGAGAGCUUUGGUGUUGAGUCCAGCUCAGAGCUCUCAGGUACAGAGCCCUCAGCUCAAGAUUUAUUGGAGCUGCUGGGACUGACCAGGGGCUGGGGUUCAGCUGAGCAAGAGCCCCCAUUUAACCUCCACUGAUGGCUCUUCUUUAGCUGCCAGGACUAUUCCAGGUCCUCCCAGCCACCAGACCCCUGUUCCCAAGGGAUCUUUCUGGGCUGAGAAAGGAAACUAUUUAAUACCACCUGUUUGAACACUGGAGUGGGAACAAAACCACUACCAGGAACAGAAUUUCUGUCUGAUUGCAAAUCUGUUGGCAAAAAAAUGACAACACCAUAGGAGUUAAUACUAACUUUAUUAUACAAUAUUUAAAAAGUCAUUUCUCUACCUGUCCCCUUACAGCUUGCAUUGUGCUGCAGUGAAUUUUCCCAAACUGCAAGAAUAAGUGCUUCCUUCUGAGAAGGACAAGCAAAUUCAUUUUAAAAAGAAAUACACAUUUAAUGACAGCAGAUUUGCUAAAAACAAUAAGUUUAGAGUUGCUUUUCAACAGUCAGAUUCCUCCAAAAGUCAGCUAGAUGAUUGGCUUCACUCUUGUGAUGCUCCUAACAAGGCUGAACACGUCAAGGCUUUACACCAACACAGACAGAAUCCAAGCAGAGGGAACACAGAGCCAAGCAGAAGGUAAUAAAAAGGCCAAAUUCCAUUAAGUUCAUACAAAUACCAAACUAAUCUUAUGUUGAAUUCAUGAAGUAACUAUCUCUUGAUUCCAACCCAUUCAGCAGUUCCUCUCCCUGGACCACAGGAUGCUCUGAGAGGUGGUGGCUCUUUGGGCAGGACCGGGGUUCCUGUGAGUCCCCGGCUCCGAGAGGAUCACAGGGGUCAUCUGCAGUUCCAAGCUCCCUCCAGGCUCUGAGCCGAUCCCACACGGAUCACGGCAGCAUCUGGCACAGCCUGGACAGUAAGGUUUUAUGGCACAAAGAUACUUUACGUUCUGGCUUGUAAAACAAGGUUCCAGUCUUGGUAGCAGGAAGGGCCCGGGACACCUCAGGAUCUGUCUUCGUGUCACAGUGGCUUUGAGAGGGAACUCGACUGCCUCCCUCCCUCCCUCCCUCCUCUAAAGCAGAGGCUCAGCACCCUUCUUGCUCCUGUCAUUUCCUAUUUGCCUUCAGCACAGUCAGCUCAGUAACACAAGAAGCGACUUUGAGAUUUUUUUUUUCCAAAGAGAUACCAACACUAUAGCCAACAGACUAAAAUGAAGCAAAGUGUCCCAUCGCUAUAAUACAAAUUUAGGAGGAAACAGAUAAACUACCCAUAAAUUAAGAGUACCCUUUAGCAACCUAAAAGCAGCCUCUUCAUACCCACACGGCUGCUUUACCAUCAUCGCUGCAGCGUGGUCUAGUUCCCAUCACCUUUCCCAACCCAGUGCUGGCACACAGUUUAUGUCUGAGCUCUUCUAUUUUACAACACAAUAGAGUAUUUACAAGCAGCCAAGACAGACACGUUCCUAACCCAGCAGCCAAGCUUUGCAGCGCUGCGCUGGCUCGCAAGAGAAGUUCCAGAUUGGCAAGAGCCGUUCAGGAAGUGGCAAUCGAGUUUUAAUGUGGAAACCUUUCUGAGAAACCUCUACAGUCUUGCACUUCAGACUUUUUCUCAGUGAAAGCUCAGCAGAGCUUAGCUUCUUGCUCCUCCUGAUUCACCAGAGUGAAUUUCUGGCUACAUGGUGGUGCCAGACUGUGCCCAGGAGGCUCCAGCUGCUCCUGGACAGGCUGAGGGGUCUGUCCUGCUGCCCCGUGCUGCAAGCGGGGCAUUCUCUGCCCACAAAGGGCAGGAGCCAGCCCUCCAACAAAUACUAAUGCAAACAAAGAAGGAGCUUCCCACUGCUGGCUGCCUUUCUCCAGCCAUCCCACCUGCUCUCCUGCACCGGUGUUUGGCUUCUCCUAAGCAGCAGCAGCAGUGAGUGUUGUGCUUCCACUGCAGCUGGGGAAUUCUGACCCAAUGAAGAUGUGGCCAGAGCAAAGAGCAGCAGCUUCCCAAAGAAAGGCUCAGCACAGCACCCCUGCCCGGGCUGGGGUCCCUGGCAGCACCCCAGAGGUUUCAACAGCACUUGAGUCUCCACUUGCAGGAAUUCUCUGAGCAGGAAUCAGCGAGAUCCGAGUGAGGUGUUCAGGCAUCCCCAGGGCGAGGAUCUUCCAGCAGCAGAGACCAAAGUGUCGGCUGUGAGCCAGGGAAGGAUUUUCCAGCAGUGAGAGCUGGGCUUUGAGGGUGAUGUUCAUUUAUUCUUCCUGAUUCUACAGCUGAGUGUGAUCUGUAACUGCCACGAGCAGCAACCACUAGUGUUAUUUGUUUUACAGAGGAGAAACACAAUACCCUCCCCACUGGUACCACACGUCUUCCCUCCCCCUGGGCACAAGGUGGGAAGGAUGAGUAACCUUCACACAGUGCUGGGUACAAACAACUGCUCCGUUCGGUGCAGGGUGAAGGUGACACUGAGCCAUGGGAGGGGACUGCCUGUCCGUGGAGCAGCACACGCUCCCUGGCUCGGCCAUGCGAGUGUUCAAACCAUGUGUACUCACAGGGCCAACCAGUAUCAACCGCGUGGAAAAGCCAGACCCAAUACAAGGUUCCAAACUUCCUUCAGGUUAAAGAUCUUCUAUUCCCACAGUUAUGAUCACUGCCAUUGGAAAUGUUAUCAAAGCAAGGGUGUGCUGGGAAAGGUUUUCAGGAGGUCACUGGCAGGACCUUGGGUCACCUGUGCGCAGUGAGAAGAGCAGUGACCAAGCCACCCCAAUGCAACCCCAACAGCAAGGGCUGGUCCCAGUCCCAGCUCCACGCUGGCACAUGCUGAUCCAGGAGGAAGCAGCCUGAUCCUUUUAGGUCAUGAGUUCACUAAAGUCCAAACAUUUAAAUGGCUCUUUUGUUUUUUGUGUUUUUUUUUUUUUUAAAUCACGACAGAACUAAGGGAUGAGAUCAGAUCCAAAUUUGUAAAUGGGUUCAUUGGCCACUACUGUUCACAUUAGGGAUCAACAGUAACGAGCCAUUCUCCUUCCCAUUCCCUUCAUGAAUGGUCCCUGGUAUUGGAAUCAGCUGAUACUGAUUUUCCCUGAUCCACAAUAGGUCCAGACCAGAAUAUUUAAACAGGUUUAGAGGUGCGUAGUAUUAAAAAAUAUCCUUAAGAAACACUGAGGUAGACUGCACCAGAACAGGACAAAAGUAAUCCCACCACAUCCACCUGCCAAGAUUUUGCGGAUACAAAUUUACAUGUUCUGUGUGUUUAAGAAAACAAAUUGUUUGUUGCUUUUUUUUUUUACAGUGUUUUAUAUAUUAAAAUAAAUAAAAAAAUUCUAAUAAGAAAAACUUCUCUUCCUUAGAAAAGUGUGAGAAUAUGUCUUCUUUCCUGCAGUGUAGUAUAGAGCUGCUAAACAGUUACAACUUUGUAAAGCAGAAGAAAUGUAAACGAGGCCUUUUGAAAUCCAAAGGUUCUCACCCAUGUCUGGACUGUGUUUUCCACCCAAAUUUGUGGAGCAACCUGUACCCUCCACCUGGGCCGAACCGAUCAGCCUCCAGCAGCAAAGGGCCCAACAGCUCCCAGUGCUACCCAGAGUCUGUCGUCCCCCCUUUUGUGACUGUUCUGGCCAGAAGCAGCUGGGGCUCCCAGAACCAGCUGCAGCCCCAGGUGUGGGCUCGGGGCACUGCAGCCCCUCUGCCUCGCUCACAGCAGCACUGCCCGGGCUGGAGCCACAGCCCGGCCCAGCCUUCCUGCUCUCCCGAGCCAGGGCACCUCGCUUUCUCCUGGCAGAGAGCACAAAACAGAUCUUGGACUUCUCCAGGAGGAGAAGUGAAGGACUGAGCGUCUCUCCCUGCUGUUCAAGCACCUCCUGCAUGACACGGGCCUGCGACAUCCAUCAUCUUCCUUCCCUGCUCCCACCAGCUCCGUGCUACCAGCCCUGGCUGAGUUUCACCGUUAUUCUCCAACACCAGGUGCCCAUCAGCUCUGUCUUUGCAAACAGCAGCACAACAAAGCACAGUCCUGACGGCGAGCGCUGACAUCCCGGCAAGCCGCGUCCCGGGAGUUCUGCAGCAGGAAUCUCGGGGAACACAAGGCUGGAGGCAGCAAACCACGGUCACCUUAGGUGUGCAGAGCCCAGAACUUUGUGCUCCCCCCUUCAGUGUCCCUUGCUCAGCUCCAGUUCGUGCUUGUCCUCUCUCGCCGGCUCCAUCUGCGGCACGGAAGGCAAAGUGAGGGACACGGGGGUAGAGGAGGAGCAGGACUCGAGGCCAGGAUGUUCUGGGUCCUUCAGCUCCCAAAGAUGGGGCUUUGAUUG